CCCUUAGAUGAUUUGGGCCGCACGCGCGCUACACUGAGUGUCUGAGAUACGAGUCUGCCUGGUCCGGCAAGGUCUAGGUAAUCGCUAAAAGACACAUCAUGCUUGGGAUAGAUUAUUGCAAAUAUUAAUCUUGAACGAGGAAUUCCUAGUAAGCGCAAGUCAACAGCUUGCGUUGAUUACGUCCCUGCCCUUUGUACACACCGCCCGUCGCUACUACUGAUUGGAUGUUUAAGCGAGGUUCUCGAACUGCUAGCGACUUAGCUUCGGUGAGGUCGCAGUGUGGGAAGUGAACCUAGCUUUGGUGUCUAGAGGAAGUAAAAGUCGUAACA
rnacentral:rRNA from 1 species